GUGAGGAAUUUUCCGCAAUGGGCGAAAGCCUGACGGAGCAAUGCCGCGUGAAGGAUGAAGGCCUAUGGGUUGUAAACUUCUUUUCUCAGAAAAGAAUUAUGACGGUAUCUGAGGAAUAAGCAUCGGCUAACUCUGUGCCAGCAUCCGCGGUAAGACAGAGGAUGCAAGCGUUAUCCGGAAUGAUUGGGCGUAAAGCGUCUGUAGGUUGUUUAAAAAGUAUUCUGUCAAAGAUUAGGGCUUAACCCUAGAUAGGCAGAAUAAACUUUUAAGCUAGAGUUUGGUAGAGGCAGAGGGAAUUCCCGGUGGAGCGGUGAAAUGCGUAGAUAUCGGGAGGAACACCAAAGGCGAAGGCACUCUGCUGGGCCAAUACUAACACUGAGAGACGAAAGCGAGGGGAGCAAAUGGGAUUAGAAACCCGAGUAGUCC
rnacentral:rRNA from 1 species